CAUUUCUCCUAGUAAAUCAACCCAUUCCUUUCGAACAAAAUUUUCCUUGCUCAUUGCAUCUGCCAUAUGCUUCAAAAGGAAUUUAUUUAUCACACGCUGAAUGCAUGCUUCAGUCCAACAACCAUCAGCUAUGAAUGUUACCAUUACUUCAGGCGCUUCAUGGUCACUCUUCACAUCAAGUUUAGGUAUUUGGACAAAG
rnacentral:lncRNA from 1 species